rnacentral:rRNA from 1 species
GUUUGAUCAUGGCUCAGGAUGAACGCUGGCGGCGUGCCUAACACAUGCAAGUCGAACGUGAGGGGAUAGCAAUAUCUCUGAAAGUGGCGAACGGGUGAGUAACACGUAGGUAACCUGCCGCGCAGAGGGGGAUAACGACUGGAAACGGUCGCUAACACCGCAUGGUACUGGGGAUACGGGAGUAUUCUUGGUUAAAACCUUGGUGCUGCGCGAGGGGCCUGCGUCCGAUUAGUUAGUUGGUGAGGUAAAGGCUCACCAAGGCGAUGAUCGGUAGCUGGUCUGAGAGGAUGAUCAGUCACACGGGAACUGAGACACGGUCCCGACUCCUACGGGGGGCAGCAGUGAGGAAUAUUGCGCAAUGGACGAAAGUCUGACGCAGCAACGCCGCGUGGAGGAUGAAGGUCUUUGGAUUGUAAACUCCUUUUCUCAGGGAAGAGAAUGGACGGUACCUGAGGAAUAAGUCACGGCUAACUACGUGCCAGCAGCCGCGGUAAUACGUAGGUGGCAAGCGUUAUCCGGAAUUACUGGGCGUAAAGCGCAUGCAGGCGGCUCUUUAAGUCUGACGUGAAAGCUCCUGGCUUAACUGGGAGAGGUCGUUGGAAACUGGGGGGCUUGAGGCAAUGAGAGGGGUGUAGAAUUCCCGGUGUAGUGGUGGAAUGCGUAGAUAUCGGGAGGAAUACCAGUGGCGAAAGCGGCACCCUGGCAUUGGCCUGACGCUCAUGUGCGAGAGCGUGGGGAGCAAACGGGAUUAGAUACCCCGGUAGUCCACGCCGUAAACGAUGAACACUAGGUGUAGGUGGUGUGAAAACCAUUUGUGCCGAAGCCAACGCGUUAAGUGUUCCGCCUGGGGAGUACGGCCGCAAGGCUAAAACUCAAAUGA